CUUCUCUCCCUGAACAGUACAGGUCGCUCCCUAUCAUGGUCCACUUGGAGAAAAAGGAAACUGAACUCAGGAAAGUCGUGACAACUUUGGCCAUCUGGGACCUGGACCUGCCACUCGUGAUGCUGUUAAUGUGGCCUCCCCUGUGUCGUGUGGCCACGUUUCCUCAAUAAGUUAUGGGACAUACGACAGGAUCAUAGGAAUAUUUUCACUCAUGAAGAAUUGUGAAAGAGCAGCCCUGUUA
rnacentral:lncRNA from 1 species